CGCGAUUAACAGUGCAACCCCACCAUUAUGAAAAGCAUGCAGAAAAAGAAACAUAGCCCUAGCUAGUUUAUGAGCCAAGGCCAAACCCCGGCCGCUAGGCCUAUACUACGAGCCAAAGUUGAGAUGGCAACAGGCCCCAAACUAUUGAAAUUGAAAGGUUUGAGAGCAGCCAUGGCCAUGGUGUGUCCCCUCCAGUUGUGGGUCCCUGGC
rnacentral:lncRNA from 1 species